rnacentral:lncRNA from 1 species
CGCCUCCAGUAAACUUAGCCCAAUUAUAAAAAAUUUAAUCACACUUUGGUCCUGCGAAGAUCAGAAAAUCAGAUCGGGCAGAUCAGAAAGUGGUUCUUAGGCAAGGCGAAAAGCAUAUCGGUUAGUUAUUUUUGAAGAAUUUGAUGAGAGUUAUCAUAAACAAAUAUGAAUUUUCUUGUAAUUCUUAUGAUAGAUGCAUUCACUCAAAAAGGGGAAAAAGGGCAUGCAGACAAUUCACCUGUCUUGAGGUGUUGAGAUUUUUGGAUGUCUCAUCCGCUGCCCGAUUUGCGUUUGGUAGAAUUUACAUUAUAAACCCGUUAGUAUUUUACUGAAGUUUCGAUGUGGGAAAAUAGUGAUCAUUUCCAAAAAAAGGAGGGAAUAAAGUUCAUAUGUAUGGCUGCAAAAUGAAAAAUGCCUUACCAAUUUUUGGUGUACAUGACAUUGUUUAUACUCAGACCUCGUCCAUUUCUAUUAGGCCGCUCACUUUUUCCUGCGGCUCAAUUUCUUGAUCAAAUGACUGAAUGAGAACUGCUACUAACGGGGGAAAAAUUUACUUUAAGGCCAUUCACUUUUUCCUGCAGCUCAAUUUCUUGAUCAAAUGACUGAAUGAGAACUGCUACUAACAGGGGAAAAAAAUUACUUUUAAAGUACUGCUAUAAUUUCUAAACUUUUUAAAAUGUUUUACUUUGUUUGUUUUAAGUUAAAAAUCUAUUCCUUUCACAUUGACUAAAAAAAUUUAAGAGGGUAGGCAGAUAAGUCACCAUUUUUGUGGAAUUUCAGUUCAGUAUUAGAUGAAUCAUGGCAAGCUACCCAUUCACUUACUGGUAGAACAUAACUCAUAAACAAAUUUAAAAUUUCAUUCAAUUUGAGAUAUUGGGAAAUUUUGAUGAUCUAUAUCAAAUCGUGUAUGGUUGCAAAUGAUCAAUGGCUUAAAAUUAUUUGGCCCUUGUUUGAGCCCCAUUUUUUUGGGAAGAAUGAAUUUUUGAAUAGUGUAUUGAUGGAAAAUGUGUGGUUAAAAAAUAAGGAAAAGUUUUGAAUUUGCGUGUAAUAUUAUUUUAUUGAAGAAUGUGUAAUUGAAAUGAUGUCAAAACAUUGUUGAAAAAUAUACUUUUCCAAAAAAAUGGGGCUCAAACAGGGGCUUGCUAUAUAAACUUGGAUGACAUUGUUUAAAAUCAUAAUUGUAUUUGCAGAAUGCCAUUUACUAUUUCCUAAUGCUCAAUUCUUUGAAUAAAUGGGAUUUUUUAUUUUAUUUUUUUAUUAUUAUUUUUAUAAUGAUAAUUGGAUAUUAAAUAAAGGAAAUUUCAUGUAUGUCCCAAAAUUUUAUAGCAUAGAAUUAUUUAGUGUUAAGGAUUUUCACCUGAGCAUAUUUUGAUACUAUUGAAAUGUUGAGGUACUUAAGUGAAAUAGCAUUAAACUCAAUUUUAUUUUGACCAAAUAAUUAGAUUUUGAUAAAGCGAGAAUAAGUAUAUCGAUAUUGGACUCAUUAUGUAGAUUGUAAUUAAUUAGGAGUCGUUUAACCAAACUUUUUGCAUUUUUUGAAAGGUCGGUGGGUAAGCUUCUAUUUUUGAACUUGGAAUGUGGCCGACGCCUUGCCCUGCCACCUUUCCCUUCUUGUUGAACAUAGCUUAUAAACAUUUUAACACUCGACUACAUUGUUGAUGUAGGACAAUAUUGUUAUUAUGAAUCAAGUCAUUGAACAAAGGAAUCUCCUACUCUGAUUUCCUCCGGUGCAAAUUUCCUGUGUUACUUGUGCUUGAUCAUUUGAUACCAGUUAAUGGAGGCAACACAGAUCUUCAUUCCUCUGGUAAACAUUCUGCGGUUUUGGUUGACAUUGUGAUUUUUGCCAUUGCAUCCUUUUUCUCCCUAAAUUUUGUAAUUGUUUAGACGUUUAUUUUUUAUUUGAGAAUUAAAUCAAAAGAAUGUAAAAGUAUUUAGCGGAAGGAAAUAGAAUUCUAUGAGGUUAAAAAGGCAAUUCUUAUUGUUGAUGACUUCUACUCAAAAGGGAUUUUCAUUGACUAAAAAGGUGGUCUGUAAGUAGCCGUUUUUGUGCUUUUUAUGGUUUUCUCAGUUAUUUUUCUUGAACUUUAAUGUGGCUGUACACUAAUGUGGCAGACGCCUUUCUAGGCUACCUGUUCCUUACUGUUUGAACAUAAUGUAUAAACGUGUUAAGAUUUCAAUACGAAGUUGAUAUGGGACAAUGGUAAUGAUGGACUGAUAUUCCCGUAGAUCAACAGUUUCAUGAAGUGAUGCUAUGAGGUUUUGGAGAAAGGAGUUACAGAGUGCCUGAAAUAGAGUUUAGGAAUCCAUCAGAUAUCGGAUGAAUCUGAAACCUUAAUUUUUUUUGAAAAGAACUUCAGAUAUAAAUCAGAAUAAUAGAACUUUUUAUUUUUUUUUAUUUUUUGUUGUCUAUACUUUGGUUUGUACUUUUUAACUGAAGUCCAGUAUGAAUUGCUUGCUUUGCUUGAUUGUUUGAUAUGGGUUUCCUCAGGAAACACAUUUGUUCAUACAUAGGUAUGACAGAAAUGACAAAUGCUCCACUAUUUUGGUAUAUAACCAUACAUGUCAUUGUUUAUAAUCAUAUAUCUUGCAUUUCUUUGAGGUCAUUUACUAUUUGGACAAAUAUUUUACACCUAUUAUUUCUACAAUGAAGACUAAGGGAAAAUAAGUUUUCUCAAGGAUGCUAUUUUCAUUUAUUGCGAACUUAAAAUAAUUUUUGUUGCACUAUAUAUAUAAAAAUUUCCGCAUUGUAUGGUUUUUAUAGUAUUUGUCAAUAUGACGAAGUGAUUCAAAGGAAACUUAGGAGAAAGCAUUUUUAAAGAGUUCCCCUAAUGCCGUCUGGAAACUUUCCUCUAUACACAAUUCGUUGCUCUGUAAAUGGUUUCUCACAGGACGUGGAUAAAAUGUGGUUUAACUUUCACCAUUUAUAAACACUUACCAAACACACUCUAACUAUUGGGUUUAUGUGAUUGAUAGUUUCUUCUUCUUUUUUUAGCGAUUUAAAUUAUUUGGUAUUUCUAUGGCUCGAUUAUUAAGGAAAAAGUUUGUUCGAAUAGUUCGUUAAUUUUCUUUAGGUCAUUUAUUCACUUCUAGAAUAUUCUUUAUUAUUCCUUUUGAAUGUUAAUGUCUCAAUCUUAGUUUGUUAUACUUUCUGCAUCCACAUUUAGUUGUUUAUGCAGAAUGCAAUCUCUAAGUUGAACAAUGUCUCUCUUUUUUUAUUUUUUAUUUAUUUUUUUAUUUUUAAAAUGAGAUUUCUGCUUCAUUUUGUUCUUUCCUGUUACUAAAUUAACUAAAAUUAUGUGCAUUACAUUAAUAGCCAAUAUAUAAUAGCUAUAUUUUCUCCGCGCAUUAUAUUGGUAGAUCAUUUUAAACAAUCUUUUAGUGGCCGGAUUGAGUUGAGUCCAUUAAUUCUAGCUAUCUGUCACAGACCACAAGGUCAUGACUGAGGAGAAAGCAUUUUUGAUUCUAGGCUAUAUAUUUUGGAUGGAUUUGAAAGAUCACUUUCAUUAUUCUGUGACAAUAGCAGUAUUUUAUUCCAAUAGGAAUUCAAUGAUAUCAAAGUUUAUAGACAUUAUGUUCCUAGUUGUCAAGAAAAUAAUACAGUGUUUAGAUUUCUAUGAAAUAAUUAGGAAAACUCUAUAAUUGCAAAUUCACUUAUUAAGGGGCUAUCACCCAGGAUCUUUCAUGAGCAUAUUGCUUACAUAGGUGUUGCAUUUUUUGAUGAUAUGCCAAGUUAGUGGGAGUUUGUAUUUGGAUUUUUAUUUUUAUUUUUUUGACACAUAAUUCUAUCCAUGGAUAUUCAAUUUAAUUUCAUAAAUAAAGCAUUCAGUAAGUUCCACUCCGAUUAAAGUUUUUAUUGAUCUCGUUAAAGAAUAAGGUAGAUCAGUUGGAACUAGGCAUGUUUAGAUCAAAUUACAUGUAAUUUCCACGUUACACAUCCACACUUGAUCUAUGUCAUUUGAUUGUAUUUAUAUGCUUGACCAUUGACUAUUUAGUUUUGAUAAUUAUAACAAAGGCCACUUUGAUCCUAUAUUGACAUAACUAACGGACGAGAUUAUUCGGAGAUACCUUUUGGUUAUGAUAGCAAAAAUAUUGAGCCCAUAAGGUUAUACACAUUUAUAAGGUAACAUAUGUGGACCAAGUGGGAGAUUGUUGGAAAAUUAUUUUAUUUUCAUGAGAGCCAACAUAUGUAAUUAAUUGUGUAUAAAGACUAUUUUAAAUUUAAGCCCAAAAUUAAAGUGAUCUAAUAAAGAAUUAAGUAAUUAAGUUUAGAGCUUCUAAGUAAAGUGUAGGUUGAAUUAUAUGUGUACACAGAGACAGAUAUAGGGGGGCUGGGCUGGGCUGUAGCCCCCCCCAGGUCCAAGAAUUUUUUUUUAAGGUAUUUUUUAUUUUUUUGGGGGUAAAAAAUCAGUUUUUUAUGUGUAAAAUUUUUUUUUCCACGUAGUAGUCCGGUUUGAAAUUUUGUAGCCCGAUUGUGGAUCCAAUCCUGGAUCCGUCCCUGUGUGUACAGACCAGAUUCCUUUAGUUCUGUAUUCCAUGAUGGACGAAAUACAUAUGAAAACUAUAUAUAGGAUUAUCGUCCCCAAUUCAUAUCCAUUUUUUCAUUCUUUGUGUCAUCUCAUCAACACAAGAAUACAAGGGAGCAUAUUAAAGAGGAAGAUCCAAUACUGACAAUCAAGAAUCAAGAUUAUGGAUCAAGAACAAGAAUCAAAGAAUCCAAGGAGGUAAAUUUCAAGAUUGAAAGUAAGAAACCAAUCAAGAAGGGAUUCCAAGUUGAUUUUCAAGAUUCAAAAUCUGGAAAUCAAGAUUCAAUAAUAAAGAAUAAUUCCCAAAGAAUUAAUGUAUUUUCUGCAUUAUUAAUUUUCUUUGUGAUUUGACAUGGAGGAACUUGGCAACAAAAUAAUUAGGCUUUCAAGUUUCCAGUUUUAUAAAGUGUCAAAUCUCAUAGCCAACCAUCUAUGAAAGAAAGCAGUCAGCCACAUAAAUUGCCCGCUAAUGAGGUGGUCAAAUUCCCUGUGAUCAAUAACUUGAUUGUGCAGGUAAUAAAGCCGGUUAAUAAUUGAGAUUAGUCAGAAAUCAUCGUCAUGUAUAAAAUAACUGAAUAAGUGGGAUCUUCUUCUAUUAAUUUCUCCAUUCAAGUCUUACAUUUUUUGAUUAAUUAAUACUAGUUAACUGAGGAACUACAUCUUCACAUUCGUAAUUUCCAUUUGUAAUCUGAGUUUGUCUCAAGUUUCCAUUAGUGAAGAUUGUACAGCAUGAAGUCCUCUCAAGAAGGCUAGAGCAGUUGUGAUUUUUCAUAUCAUUAUUAACAGCUAAUUAUCUGACAUAUUGAUAUUCCUGUAGAUCAUAAGUUAUGUGAAGUGAACUCAACAAUUUUGGAGAAAGAUUGCUACAAAAUGCCAAAAAAUAGAGUUUUGAAUCUCAGGUAUUUGUGUGGGCUGUCGUGACAUUUACAGAGCAUGGCUGUAAAGAUUAUGGUUCGAGACUUCGAGUGUACUUGGAUGGAGAGAGGCCUUUCGAUCUAGUGGCUUAUAUUGAAAUGGUUAUAGCAGGGGAAAUCUACCGAUAGUUGAUGAAUGUGGAAGAUUAAAUUUUCAUAAGUUGAAGGCAUUGGAAUGAUUUAGACUUUACUUCGAUGGACUAGGAAAUCAGAUUAUGAAAGUGAAGACCUUGAGAUUUGUUUGAGAGUGUGAAUUUCUAUCAUAGGAAUUCAAUGAACUACGUAAUUAAAGAGAAAUUCUUACUCAAUUAACUAUUUCUAAUUCAUCAAAACUAAAUGGUGUUUUCACGAGAAGGAAUAGAGUAUUGCCAAGAUGAUAAUUCAGUCACAUUUACCUAUUUAUAUUUGGAGAAUGUUAGUUAACUGCAACAUGUCACUAACAAAGUCUCUCAAUAAUAAUACCUUCAAUAUUGUAUUAUAUUUGGACAUCUAGAUAAUUAAAUAUUGGUUAUCUUAGAUUUACCAUUUAUGAUUAACUACGUAAGUUCUCGAUUCUUCCAAACGAGUUUGGUAACCCGAGUCGAAUAAGAACUAAAUGUAACCCUAUGAGAUCCACGACAAUCCAAAGAGGAAUUGUUCAUAGGUGAAAUUUUGGAUGGAUAUAUAUUGAGUCACAAGGUGUGACAUUUUUUCCUAGUAAGGAAAAAAAGGUUGGAGUAUAUUUGUUGGAAUUAGACGAUACAUAAGCUUGAUAGAUCAAUUAAAGUGGACAUGAGUUGUCUUUACCUCUGGUUCAAGUAGGAACAAUCUAUUUUCAAAUAACUUAAUUCACCAACUUUCCUUAUUUUAUAGGAGUAAAAAGAGGAAAAAUAGAUAAAAGUAUAGAAAGAGUAUAGAAAAACCAAAUAUGGGAUGCCGGAUGUGGUGCAUAUUCUAACUGAACAUCAAGUUUUUUAAGAAUAUUUGGAUUCUUGAAAUUUGAACAGAAGGCUAAUAAGUUAAUAAUAAAUAAAGCUCAUUUUUAUUUUCAAGGAAGGUUUUACCUUAUAUGAUGGUAUUGACUGCGAUAACCCUUUUUACAUUAUAGCGAGACAUGAGUAUGCACUAUGUUAACCAUAACAUUGCGUUUAAAUUUAGAGCUAUACCAAACAGGCUUGGCGACUGUAUUUUUAUUCUUGAUGUAGAAUUUAUUGAAGAGAUUUCCAUAAACUGACUUGUGGAUUUCAUUGUUAAAGGUCUUCUAAAAUUAUGCUGACUUUAUGGUUAUACUUGUAGAUUGAAGCAGUUAUCUUGAUUGUGGCACUUGAGUUUUGACAGAGCUUAUAUCUCAUACAAAUUUCAAUAUAUGGAUCAAGAUUACUUUAUUUAUGUGAAGGUGCUGUAGUUAUCCCAUUUAUUCCUUAGAGAAAAAAUUGUUAUUGGAAAAGGACAUACAGAUUUUGACUAAGAAAGAGAUCUAGUUGAGCACAAAUCAUUAUUAGAUUAUGUGCUCUUACUAUAAAGGGUGACAAUAUUUAGAGUAGCAAAAUUUAGAUCUAUUAGUGUAUAUCUUCCCGGAAAAUUAUCUUUAUAGAUGUAUUGAGCAUCUAAUGAUAUUCAUUAAAAAUAUGAAAUCCAUAAUAUUUAUGCAUGCAUGAAGGAUCACAAGUAUGAUGAUGGAACCAAAUACUUGAUGGAACUCUGUUGGAAGAUAAUAGCAAAGAAAAUGUGUCCGUGAUAUAUCUAUGCACAUAAUUAUAAUAAUACUUUGAAGACAUCUAAAGAUGUAUUCAUUGGUCAUGUCGAAUAUCUAGAAAUGCAUAGUAUAUGAUAUUUUGUGUAGUUGAAAGCUUUUGAUUGAGUUUUGCAUGCCCACAAAUGAACAAUUUUAAAUUCAUAUGUAAUUUAUUGUUGUGAUUACCAUAUAAAUGAUUUACAUUAACAUAUAAAGUAUGUCGAUAAAAAAACUGGGCUAUAGAAUAGGGAUUGAAAAGCAAUUGAGAUUGGAUCACUCCCAUAAGUAAUCACCUCAAAAAAUUUCAAGAUGUGCUAAAAUGAGUUUAUGCGAUCAUAUUUUGCACAUGGUUCCAUCGUCUUAUUGAAAUAUCAAGAUGAGAAUACUAUAAGUAGUCGGAAUUGAUUCUACUAACCAUUCAACCUAUUUGGUUGCCAUAUCGAAUUUUCAGUUUAAGAUUGUCUAGAAGAAUGAUUAAAAGGAGGACUUACACUAGAUAUCGAGGAAUACUUAAAACAUGCUGCAAGAGAGAAAGAAAUACUAUAGCAUGUAUUUUCAUACCACGUGUGCUCUGACAACCAAUAUUGGAUAAAUAGAUGAAUGGAUCCUAUCUAUUAGGUCCAAAGUGUAUUGACUAGUUCCAUAUCCGAAUUCAUAGUUUAUUAAGUUGUAAUUAAAGUCAAGGUGUGGGUGUUGGGAAUGUUGUUGGAAGGAUUCAACUUCAGCUCAAAAAGAUCAUGAAAUGUCUAAAAACUUCACACAUGAUCAAUAGGAUUCAUUUAGAAGUCAAAGAAGUGUCAAAGUACUGCAUAAGUUAUGCUCCGAAUUCAUAGUCACAGGUUGCGACUCAUUUUUCGCAUAGAAAACAUUCGAAUUGGAAAAAUGAUACUUUUACGAGAAUUGUAUCCCUUUAAGUUAGAUUUUCAAUGCACUUUGAAUCGUCUCAAUUUGAUAUCAGGUAGAAAAAUAUAAUGAAAAUAUUGACGGUGGCUCAGAGAGUGUUCCCUGAUCGACCCUUUGGGUGCUUGAGCAAUUUUAAUCGAAUGUGAGUGCUCGUUGAGCUUCCCAAGCUUGCUCAAGCAGUCGUGUUAGUGCCCAACACUAUUUCACAAUUUUUACCCAUUUUAUAAUCCCAAGCACUUUAUGUUAUAAAUACAUAAGCCAUAUUUCAUUCCAAGGGGGUGUUAAGCCUUCAUUGAUUCAAGAGAACAAAGAUCGAACAUCAAUUCUAUAAUUCUCUUGACUCAACCACAAGAUUAAAACACAAAAGAUCAAAUACCAAAAACCAAAUUCUUUAUCAAAUAGCCUUUAGAGUUCUGAAGUUUGGAAAGGGUAGAUGGAGUUCCAAUUGGAGAAAAAUGAGGUUCGUCGUUAGUGAUCCACAGAAAGUAAAAAGAAGUCCAGAGUUUUUGAAAAGUGCUGGAGGCACAAUUGAAGAGGCUUUUAGAUGAUUGGCAGGUUAAGUGGUCAAAAUCAAUUAACGUUUAGUUGUGUCUGGACCAACUAUAAGUUAUCUUUUCUAGUGGAUCUUUUUGACAAAAUUUGCCCGAAGGUUUGAUUCCUCUGAAGAGUUCUUCAAAGGGUUUUCUUUCGAACCAAAUUUGGUGUUCUAUAUUUUUAUGCUUUUGGCUUAUAUUUCAUGAUUCACUAUUAAGGUUUAAUUUGACCUUAAACUUAAUCAUUUAGAAAUAAUAAAUAAGUGACUUGUUGAUUUAUAUUAGUUAAUUGUUUUAAUUCCGCAUUAUACACCUAUUCAUCCCCUCUAGGUGUUGAUGAGUCUAAAAGUUGUGCUAUUCUUUCCAUUGGUACUAAAGCAUAAUUCGAUGAGUGAUCCAAUUUUUUCUAAAUGAGUCAAUCACGUUCGGUUCCUCCAUAUUUUGACUGAAGCAAUUAUGCUCACUAGAAGGUUACGAUUAGGGCCUUUUUGAAAUCUAUGGAUGAACAAGUUUAGGUUAGUGUAGAAAAUGGUUGGACUGUCCCAUCUACAUACGUUACUAGUUCUCUACUUGGAGUAGAGAUGAUUUAGCUACGUGUAAUUGAGUAAAGGUGUCCAUGCCAUCUUUAUGGCUAUUUCUCCCAAGAGUUUAAAUUAGUAUCCAUAUGUGAGACUACAAAUGAAGCUUGGGACAUAUUAGAAACCACACAUGAGGAAACCAAGACCGUGAAAAACUCUAAAGUUUCAAAUGUUGACCAUUAGGUUAGAAGAAGUAAGGAUGAACGAUGAUGAAUUCUUUGAUUAGUUCUAUGCAAAAUUAAAUGAUAUAGUGAGUUAGUGACUCUAGUUUCAAACUAUGUGAUCGAAUCCUUGAGGCUAAGAUUUUGAGAAAAGUGAUGAGAUCCCUACCUGAAAGACUUAGACUUAAGGUCACAGCUAUUGAAGAAAGCAAAAGUAUCAAUGCUAUUAAGAUAGAAGAACCUGUAGGAUCUUUUUAGACAUAUGAGCUUAGCUUACCCCAGUCUAAGCAAAACAAGUCUUGAGCUAUAAAUAUUGUUAAGGAAGAUGCUAGUGAGCAGACUCAUGAUGACAUCUAAAGGAUGAAAAGUUGGCUUACUUUGUUAAGAAAUUCUUUAGAAAUAAUAAAAUACCUUUUAAGAGAUAUAAGGGUGACUUUAGUAAAUAUAGAAAAGAUAAAAUAGAGAAGGGUGAUACUAGAGUGCCAGGAAGAUGUCUCAAUUUGUGAAAUAUCAUGAGUUCCAGGAUUUUGGACAUGUUAGAGUCGAGUGCCCGAGUUAUAAGAAAACCAUAGGUAAGGCUAUGAAAGCCACUCUCACCAAUAACGAGUCUAGCUCAACUGAUGAAAGUGAGAACUCCAAUUCUGAUGAGGGUGUGAAUUAUAUGGCGUUUACCUCUAUGGUUAAGAGUGAACAUGUAGAGUCUGAUGAGAGAUAUGAGAAUAUAGAGCAAUUUGACUCUUAAAAAGAAGAAUUAGAAGAUGAUAGAGAUAUAUGUGUGACAUUUGACCAAUUGUUUGAGGAAAGCCUAAAGUUGCGAAAGGUUAAUAGCUCUGCUUUAAGAAAUUGAAUGAACAUGAGUUAAAGAAGGAGUUUUGUGGUCAAAUUUGAGGAGUCAACUUGAAGAUUGAAAGAGUUAAGGGCUGAGAAAGAGUCCUUAUAAAUUAAACUUAAAAACUCUUACGAGUAAUUUUGAAAAAUCUAGUGUCCAACUUCAAUCCUUUUCUAGUGGUUUUAAGAAGAUUGACAAUAUCUCAUAACAGAACAGACUUGUGUAAUGCCCCAAACUUGACUUUACACACUUGGCCAAUAUAAUUCAUGCAUUACUUUUUAUUUACAUUACCAUUAUUUUUGCAUCAAGAGUUCGAAAUUAUUUUCUUUUAUUAUGGUGCAUUUGAUCAUUGAGGUUUUAAGAUCACUAUAUGAUUUUAAUCUUGACUCUUUGGCUUAGGUGGUGAAUAUUACAUUGAGCUAUGGUAGAAAUUUAGGUUAAUCUAGAUGUUGGAUAUUGAUUUGUUAAACAAUUGUAAUCUUCAAUGAGUCGAAAUCAUUAUUGGUAAACUUACACACUUUUAAUUUGGUUGAUAACGGUUACCUUAACCCUAUUUAAGUUUUUUUUUUUUUUUUUUUUAAACAUAUUUGGGACAUGGGGCACAAUGUGUCAUGAUCAAAAUGUAAUAAUAUAGUGUUCACAGGAAGCUAUAAAUAGUGAAGUACAAAUUGUUGAAGUUGGUCGAGAAUCGGCGCCAAUCGGGUAAGGAAUCGAAUGAACGGUUAAGGAAUUAACCCUAUAAAUUGUUUUAGGAUCUUACGGCAAUUAAAUUAGGUUGUAGAUACAGUAAGAUAGGCCAAAGACACUAUUUUUACUGCAAGGAUGGGUGUAAAAUCAGAUUUUACCACAAGGAGACACCACAUGCUUACAACACCUCGUGCUUGAGCUACGUGUCAUUUUAAUAGUAACUUUCUUUACUCCUAAACAUUACUCAUGACUCAAUCCCCUUAAAAACCUUAUAUCUACCUCCUAAAUAAGAGAUUAACUCUUUCAACUUAUCCCCAGUUGAGUCCAAGCAAAAGAGAAAGCAAAGGACCAAAGAGGAAGUGAAAACCAAGAAACUGAAACUGAUUUCUAAGCAGUGAGUUUAGCUCUCGGUUUUAUUAUUAUUAUUAUUAUUAUUAUUAUUAUUAUUAUUAUUAUUAUUAUUAUUUUGAUGGUCUUUUACCUCUUGAACCUCAAAUUUUCAUAAUAUUAUGUUGGAGUGUUAGUGAUUUUAUGACGGCAAAAGAGGAGUAAUUGGUUUGCAAGAACUUGAGUUAAAUCACCAAGGACAGAAAUUUGUGGUUGCUGGAUUUUAGUCAUUUGAGCUUGGAUUUUAUGUAAUUCUAUGAAGAGAACGUAUGUUUAUUACUUUGAAUGUUCUUAUAGAAGAGUUAUAAGUAUACUAAUAAGUCUUAAUAUGUUAGAACUAGAUCUACGGCAUGAUGAUGCAGUGGAAACUAAAGACAGUCACAGUAGUUUGACUGAUUUGGUGUCCUGUUAAAAGGACUUAACUUGAGGCUUAAAAUCCCGCACUGGUGGCAAACUUAUGGCAUCAAUACUUUCUUAUACAUGUUACAUUAAGUGUUGUAAAAAUUUGGGAAUGAAUGAAUGUUAUAAAUGGUGUGAAAAGACGAAUAAAACUAGACUGGACAGCAUCCAUUUUAAGAUUUCAUAUAAUUUCACCUUUUUACAUGUUCACCAAUCAACUAUAAAGCUCGAAAAAUUGAUUUGAUGAGUGUUAGGAAGUUAAUGAUCCAACUAAGUGGUGUUUAAGAUCAUUGAACUUGAAAAUAAUGGGAGUUAUAGGGUUGGUUACUCGUAGAGUUAAUCUAGAUUAUUUUGAAAUCUAUAGUCUUAGUACGGGUGGUGUUUAUGUUAGGCUUAUCAAAUUGAGGAUCAUAUUUGAUAUUAGAUGGUAUUACAAGUUGUUUGCGGCCCUAAAGUGGAAAAGGGACUUGAAUUUACCUGUAGAAAUCUCACACAUAGAGAGGCAAAAAGUAAGUAAAAAUUCACUUACAACUACGACACAAGAACAUAGUAUUCGUGAAAUACUCUCUAUAAAGUGUUGUUGUAAUAUUUAUAUGACCUUGAUAAUGAGUUAAUUGUAUAUCAUGUAAUGAUUAUGAUGAUUGAGCAUGUGGCUUCAAAGUAUAUUGAUUAAGUAUGUCAUUCAUGGGCAAGCAUGCACGGCAUAUUUCCAUUGUUAAAAAUCUAGCAUGCACAACAUGAUUGAAAAAAUAAAUUUACAUUAUAAAAUAUUUUAUUGACCAUUAUUAGGGCACCGAGACAUGUGAAGAUGAUCAUGUGAUAUGUUUUGACAUCGCGGGUGAGACUUCUCGAAUGAUCGCAAGAGUAGAUAAGGGGUGUGCUUUUGAUGAUCACGGAAGGGUGGACACUUGAUUGUGCCGUUGUGAUAUUAUGAUUAUUGAUAAUGCAAGAGAGAUACUUAUUAGGAGAUCAUAUGAGCAGUUAGGGGAUGUAUUUCUAGGGCUCACAUGUGGAUGGUCCACUCAACCGUGUCGAUAUCAUAUUGGUCAUUUGAUUAUUGAUUAUUGAUAUUGACAUUGUGCAAAGCUCUAUCAGGUGCAAAAUAGGUAGGUCAAGGACCCAAUAAAGAGAAAAAAUUUCAAAUGAAAUUAUUUCGAGUUAACUUUGAUGAAUAUUUGGAUAUGAUGUAUCUUAGCAUGAUGUUUUAAAGAAAUAAAUGGUGGCAUAUACUCAUAUUACUCAUACUUAUAGCAUGCAUGGUUUUUACUUAUUGGGCAUUAACUUAUGUUGUUUUUGCAUCAUAGGUGAGUAUGGAAUUUCUUAUAAGACAUGGCGAGCUGUGAAGUUCUUACGAGUUUUGAAGUUCAAUUACAUGGAUGGUGGCUUAUAGAGUUAUUUUGUAGGCUGUUGUUUUGGACUUACAAUCUGUUGUAUUAUAGUUUGGAAAUUAUGUAUUGUACAUGCAUGACUUUUGAAAUUGUAUGGUAAAUAUUUUGUAACCUUAAAGUAAAUAUGUUGGAAUAUGGUUAUAUAGUCUUUUGAGCUCGAUAUACUAUACGAAUAUCAUAGGUGAUUAGGCGAGAAUACACAAGAAUUUUAUCGUGAAGAUGCUUAUAGUCAUGUAAAAAUGUGUGAUUAUAUGCCAACG